AUCCCCCCAUUUGUCACCAAAAUGCUGAGGCUGAACGGUUGAGGAUGUCUUUUGCUUUCGAAGUGCCUUGCGUUGGGUGCUCUUUUGCCCCACGCCCCGCUGCUUUUCCUAGUCAUGCCUGAGGAGCCAAUUAUCAGGUUAUCUGGAGCAGAAGAUUCUGGCCAGCCCCUUCCCGGGCGUUUCGUGACUGUUGGCAAGAAGCAUGCUGCUCACCUAGGCCGGAUGGAUGGAUUCCGUGCGGCGGUGGAUGAAGGGCCUGAGGCUGGGCCACGUGUCG